AAACAUGGCAUCCUCAUUUCUCAUUCCCCUUUUGUUCCACGGGGUGAAGGCCUAGCCUCACAGAGCUCAGUGACACUGUUAUCACUGACCAGCAGACCCAAUUUCCCACUGCUCCCAGUUCAGCUAUGCUGCCCAUUGCUUGAACAAUGUGAGAGGCAAAAAGUCACUGAGCUUGUUAAGCCUUGAACUCCUUUUGUGCAGUCAGUUUUUUGGCCUGGACCCCUAUGUAGAGGGCUCUGAGGGAAAGCACUUUUUCAGAUUCUCUUUGUUCAGAAGACUUUUUGGCUUAGCAUGCUGGAGAAAUGACAUUGGUGGGAUGGAGAGUGAAAGAGGAAGAGUGGAAGAAAAAGGAACCGUGAUGUGGAACCUUCUGACCCAUGGCAUGCAGUUGGUGAAAGCCAGUGAUUUUCACUUCAUAAUGCAAUCAUCUCAGACAGUGGAAAGGCAGUACUGGUGAAAUGCAGGUCUAAUCAGAUGCAACUAGUUGAUGAGGAAAGCGAGAUUCUCACCGUCAUGUUUUCUCAUAGUCAUGGAAACAAGAAUUAAAAUAAAAAUCAAACAAUCUCCUCCUGUCUCUUGUUCUGCUAGUUCAUCAUGACCUUCAAGUGCAUAUUUUCCAUUGACUUUGUUCAGAUUGGUGUGGCCAGUUUGGGAUGAAACAGUGGAAACAGAGCAAUGUUUUGAAAAUGUUUUGAACUUCCCAAAAGACGUGGAACCUGGUAGCUCCCACAGCUCUUACAGCCCCACAGAGUUGCUUUGGGUAGACUGAUGUUAUAAGCUGGAUCAAGAUGAAAAAAAAGGACAAUGGCUGAAAUAUCAACAAAAUAUCUGAACAAAAGAAUGGGAGCUACACUUGUCCUUGCUUGAUUUUACCAGCGCAUGUCCUUUGUAUAAUGUAUGCCUGCCAUCCUGCCACAGAUCUAUUCCAGAAAAUAAUCCAUGACUGUUAUGGAUGUGAAUUGCAUUCCUUUUAAAUAACAAGAAGAGACUGGAGAAAAUCUGAACUACUUUAAGAGAAGACUAAGAGAGACUUUCCAAUUGAAUGGAUUUUAUUCUCCUAAUAAGGAAAAGUCGUGUUGUACAACUCUAUCGUCUCACCCUCUCAGUAAAUUACAUAAAGAAGGGACUGAGACAGUUUUUCUUACUGCUUACAUAUUAUGCUGAUGCACGUCAGUAGGUAUUAAUUUAGUAAGUUGCUACUUUUGUGCAAAAAUGGAUUGGUAUGAAUAGAGCAAAACCGAUCUUGGACUGAUGUUUUUAGGACUGAUUUGACCUCGCUCAGGCCUUGCUGUAAUGAUCAGAUGUGGUAUUCAGAUUAAAAGAAGAAAGGAGAGCCAGAACAAAGUUUCCAGCUGUUAUUAAUAAAACACUUCUGCUUAAUCUCUGUGGAAGGCACAGAAUUAACACUGUCAUGGUUCUUCCUUGAAAAUCAUUGGUCCAGCAAACUCCAGGGUAUGUCUGUGGAUGUUCAAGUGAAGGAGAAGUUACAUGGGAG
ensembl:lncRNA